GAUGAACGCUAGCUACAGGCUUAACACAUGCAAGUCGAGGGGCAUCACAGUGUAGCAAUACACGGGUGGCGACCGGCGCAUGGGUGCGUAACACGUAUCCAAUCUGCCCGUUACUCGGGGAUAGCCUUCUGAAAGGAAGAUUAAUACCCGAUGGCAUGUAUUUCCGGCAUCGGAGAUACAUUAAAGAUUUAUUGGUAACGGAUGAGGAUGCGUACGAUUAGCUAGUUGGCGGGGUAACGGCCCACCAAGGCUACGAUCGUUAGGGGUUCUGAGAGGAAGGUCCCCCACACCGGAACUGAGACACGGUCCAGACUCCUACGGGAGGCAGCAGUGAGGAAUAUUGGUCAAUGGGCGCGAGCCUGAACCAGCCAAGUAGCGUGAAGGAUGACUGCCCUACGGGUUGUAAACUUCUUUUGUUUGGGAAUAAAUGAUACUACGUGUAGUAUUUUGCAUGUACCUUACGAAUAAGCAUCGGCUAAUUCCGUGCCAGCAGCCGCCGCAGUAA
rnacentral:rRNA from 1 species